rnacentral:lncRNA from 1 species
GUUUGUCCCUGCAGUGUGCGUGGUGCAUGGGGAGGCCCCGCCCUACCAGGCACGGAGGAGCCCCAGCAGCAUCUACAGGCCAAACCCAUAGUACGUCAGACGGAGCGGCGAGGGCCACCUCGCAGCCCUGCACAGCCUGCAGACCCAGGGCAUGGGCUUCUCACAACUACAGAAAACAACUCAACUCCUCUGGGAGAGUCAAAAAAAAGAGGAGGAGAAAGUAGAGAGCAGGUCUGUUCCCAGAAGUCCCCAGUCUCAGGCCGUAAGGACUCAACUCUGAGCCAUCUGGGAUCCCAGGAAAGGGAA